rnacentral:rRNA from 1 species
UCUGGGAUAACCCCUGAGAAAUUGGGGACAAUACCGGAUAGGGCAUCGAUAGCUGGAAUGCGCGAUGUCCAAAAAGCUGAGGCGCCCAAGGAUAGGUCUGCGGCCGAUUAGGUUGUUGUUGAUGUAAUGGAUCAACAAGCCUGCAAUCGGUACGGGUUGUGAGAGCAAGAGCCCGGAGAUGGGUUCUGAGAAAAGAACCCAGGUCCUACGGGACGCAUCAGGCGCGAAAACUUUACAAUGUGCGAAAGCACGAUAAGGGAACUCUGAGUGCCUCCUAUGGAGGCUGUUCAGGUGUCUAAAAAGCACUUGAAGUAAGGGCUGGGUAAGACCGGUGCCAGCCGCCGCGGUAACACCGGCAGCCCAAGUGGUAGCCACGAUUAUUGGGUCUAAAGCGUCCGUAGCCGGCCAGGUAAGUUCUUUGGGAAAUUUAACCGCUCAACGGUUAAGCUUUCAGGGAAUACUGCUUGGCUUGGGACCGGGAGAGGUCAGAGGUACUUCAAGGGUAGGGGUGAAAUCCGUUAAUCCUUGAGGGACCACCAGUAGCGAAGGCGUCUGACCAGACCGGGUCCGACGGUGAGGGACGAAGGCUAGGGUCGCGAACCGGAUUAGAUACCCGGGUAGUCCUAGCUGUAAACGAUGCGGGCCAGGUGUUGGCAUUAAUGCGAGUGAUGUCAGUCCGAAGGGAAGCC